GAAAGAAGAAUUAUAGAGAGAGCAAGAAAGUUAUAGAGAGAGGAGGUAACCGCCACUCCGGCCACGAGGAGUCCGGUUCUGGCCGAGCCUUCUUCAUGAAAUCUUCACAGAACUUAGAGGAGAACAUUCUUGACCCUUAAUUCAACCAAGAA